CACGUAGGGCGCAAGCGUUGUCCGGAAUUAUUGGGCGUAAAGAGCUCGUAGGCGGUCUGUUGCGUCCGCUGUGAAAACUCGGGGCUUAACCCCGAGCCUGCAGUGGAUACGGGCAGACUAGAGGUAGGUAGGGGAGAAUGGAAUUCCCGGUGUAGCGGUGAAAUGCGCAGAUAUCGGGAGGAACACCGGUGGCGAAGGCGGUUCUCUGGGCCUUACCUGACGCUGAAGCACGAAGGCCAGGGGAGCAAACGGG
rnacentral:rRNA from 1 species